GGAGGGUUCGCCUAGUGGCCGAUGGCGCUGGUCUUGAAAACCGGUAAGGCAGCGAUGUCUUCGUGGGUUCGAAUCCCACACCCUCCGC
rnacentral:tRNA from 6 species